AGCUACAGGCUUAACACAUGCAAGUCGAGGGGUAGCAUGGUCUUAGCUUGCUAAGGCCGAUGGCGACCGGCGCACGGGUGAGUAACACGUAUCCAACCUGCCGUCUACUCUUGGACAGCCUUCUGAAAGGAAGAUUAAUACAAGAUGGCAUCAUGAGUCCGCAUGUUCACAUGAUUAAAGGUAUUCCGGUAGACGAUGGGGAUGCGUUCCAUUAGAUAGUAGGCGGGGUAACGGCCCACCUAGUCUUCGAUGGAUAGGGGUUCUGAGAGGAAGGUCCCCCACAUUGGAACUGAGACACGGUCCAAACUCCUACGGGAGGCAGCAGUGAGGAAUAUUGGUCAAUGGGCGAGAGCCUGAACCAGCCAAGUAGCGUGAAGGAUGACUGCCCUAUGGGUUGUAAACUUCUUUUAUAAAGGAAUAAAGUCGGGUAUGGAUACCCGUUUGCAUGUACUUUAUGAAUAAGGAUCGGCUAACUCCGUGCCAGCAGCCGCGGUAAUACGGAGGAUCCGAGCGUUAUCCGGAUUUAUUGGGUUUAAAGGGAGCGUAGAUGGAUGUUUAAGUCAGUUGUGAAAGUUUGCGGCUCAACCGUAAAAUUGCAGUUGAUACUGGAUAUCUUGAGUGCAGUUGAGGCAGGCGGAAUUCGUGGUGUAGCGGUGAAAUGCUUAGAUAUCACGAAGAACUCCGAUUGCGAAGGCAGCCUGCUAAGCUGCAACUGACAUUGAGGCUCGAAAGUGUGGGUAUCAAACAGGAUUAGAUACCCUGGUAGUCCACACGGUAAACGAUGAAUACUCGCUGUUUGCGAUAUACUGCAAGCGGCCAAGCGAAAGCGUUAAGUAUUCCACCUGGGGAGUACGCCGGCAACGGUGAAACUCAAAGGAAUUGACGGGGGCCCGCACAAGCGGAGGAACAUGUGGUUUAAUUCGAUGAUACGCGAGGAACCUUACCCGGGCUUAAAUUGCAGAUGAAUUACGGUGAAAGCCGUAAGCCGCAAGGCAUCUGUGAAGGUGCUGCAUGGUUGUCGUCAGCUCGUGCCGUGAGGUGUCGGCUUAAGUGCCAUAACGAGCGCAACCCUUGUUGUCAGUUACUAACAGGUUCCGCUGAGGACUCUGACAAGACUGCCAUCGUAAGAUGUGAGGAAGGUGGGGAUGACGUCAAAUCAGCACGGCCCUUACGUCCGGGGCUACACACGUGUUACAAUGGGGGGUACAGAGGGCCGCUACCACGCGAGUGGACGCCAAUCCCCAAAACCUCUCUCAGUUCGGACUGGAGUCUGCAACCCGACUCCACGAAGCUGGAUUCGCUAGUAAUCGCGCAUCAGCCACGGCGCGGUGAAUACGUUCCCGGGCCUUGUACACACCGCCCGUCAAGCCAUGGGAGCCGGGGGUACCUGAAGUGCGUAACCGCGAGGAGCGCCCUAGGGUAAAACUGGUGACG
rnacentral:rRNA from 1 species